CCUACGGGCGGCAGCAGUGAGGAAUAUUGGUCAAUGGACGAGAGUCUGAACCAGCCGAGUAGCGUGAAGGAUGACUGCCCUAUGGGUUGUAAACUUCUUUUAUAUGGGAAUAAAAUGUUUCACGUGUGGGAUUUUGUAUGUACCAUAUGAAUAAGGAUCGGCUAACUCCGUGCCAGCAGCCGCGGUAAUACGGAGGAUCCGAGCGUUAUCCGGAUUUAUUGGGUUUAAAGGGAGCGUAGGUGGAUUGUUAAGUCAGUUGUGAAAGUUUGCGGCUCAACCGUAAAAUUGCAGUUGAAACUGGCAGUCUUGAGUACAGUAGAGGUGGGCGGAAUUCGUGGUGUAGCGGUGAAAUGCUUAGAUAUCACGAAGAACUCCGAUUGCGAAGGCAGUUCACUGGACUGCAACUGACACUGAGGCUCGAAAGUGUGGGUAUCAAACAGGAUUAGAUACCCGAGUAGUC
rnacentral:rRNA from 1 species